AGGUGGGAGGAUUGCUUGAGCCUGGGAGAUGGAGGUUGCAGUGAGCUGAGAUCACGCAACUGCACCCCCAGCCUGGGCCAUAGAGUCAGUCCUUGUCUC
ensembl:miRNA